rnacentral:rRNA from 1 species
AGAGUUUGAUCAUGGCUCAGAAUCAACGCUGGCGGCGUGCCUAACACAUGCAAGUCGCACGAGAAAGUGGAGCAAUCCAUGAGUAAAGUGGCGCACGGGUGAGUAACACGUGACUAACCUACCCUCGAGUGGGGAAUAACUCGUCGAAAGACGGGCUAAUACCGCAUAACACUUACGGGUCAAAGCAGCAAUGCGCUUGA